GAUGAACGCUGGCGGCGUGCCUAAUACAUGCAAGUCGAGCGAACAGACGAGGAGCUUGCUCCUCUGACGUUAGCGGCAGACGGGUGAGUAACACGUGGAUAACCUACCUAUAAGACUGGGAUAACUUCGGGAAACCGGAGCUAAUACCGGAUAAUAUAUUGAACCGCAUGGUUCAAUAGUGAAAGACGGUUUUGCUGUCACUUAUAGAUGGAUCCGCGCCGCAUUAGCUAGUUGGUAAGGUAACGGCUUACCAAGGCAACGAUGCGUAGCCGACCUGAGAGGGUGAUCGGCCACACUGGAACUGAGACACGGUCCAGACUCCUAUGGGAGGCAGCAGUAGGGAAUCUUCCGCAAUGGGCGAAAGCCUGACGGAGCAACGCCGCGUGAGUGAUGAAGGUCUUCGGAUCGUAAAACUCUGUUAUUAGGGAAGAACAAAUGUGUAAGUAACUAUGCACGUCUUGACGGUACCUAAUCAGAAAGCCACGGCUAACUACGUG
rnacentral:rRNA from 1 species